AUGGCUGCGCUGGCUGCGAGGGUGGGUGACGCAAGCCCUGAGGCUGGAGAUGGGGCCGAGGGGUGUGGAUGCGGUGUGUGUGUGAGGGGGGGUGAUGCUUUAUAUUUUCCAUUGUGCCUCGCCGAUAGAGCUGCCAACAGCAACCGAAACCAGCAGCCGGGUGGCACGGGGCCGAGGGGCUGCAGUGGGAGAAGGCAGCAGGCAGGGCAGCACCGCGGGGGGGGGGGUUCACGUGCACGGCCGCAGCAGGAUGGCCCAGGUGGGGAGGGCUGUGCCGGAUCCUGCCCCAUUUGCUGGGAGGAAGGAAGGAAGCUAAAAAUAGCCCCGAAGGUGGGCUGCGGCGUGGGGCCACGUCCACCCUUCCCACCCCACAGCCAGCUUUGGGGACGGGGCAGCAGAGCGGGGCCAUGCUGCUGGGGCAGAGCCCCAGGGGUGCACCAGCCCUGUGAACGUGCCCCUUCCCCUCACCCCCCUUCCCCUCACCCCCCUUCCCAGCCCUGGGCAGGGCCUGGAGGAAUCGAAACAGAGAGCAGGGCUGGGCCCCACAAUGAAACUCCUGUUUGCAGGGUGCCCGUUCUGGCCCCGCUCCUUGCCUGGCCCCACCUGUGCCGCCUCUCCCAGCAGCAGGAGCCGGCCCCAAGGAGGGGGCCCAGCCCCACAGGCAGCUCCUCCGCCUGCCCUCAUGGUCCCGGGGGGGUUCCUGCCCCUGCCGCUCACCCCGAGAGGAUGCCAGAGAGCCCAGGAGGUUGCGCCAGCGCUCCCAGGACCCCGAUGUUUCCCUCUCACCAUACCCCACUAAUGUUAAACCCACUACCAGGAUUUGUCCCUCGCAGGGCCAGCAGGAGAUGGCCGCUGCUCCCAGGUGGGACGGGAGCGAGACCCCGGGAGGCUGAGCAGCGAGAGGGGGGCAGCAGCGGCCACGUGGCCGGGCACAGCCCGAGCGGGCAUCGGACACGUCAGCGCUGCCCAGGCCGGCCCCGGGCAGGAUUGGCCUCUGCUGGCCACAGCCCGAAGGACAGCUCUGCCCCACGGCCUCCACACCACGGGGCCCUGCCCCACGGGGAGCGGCCCGCAGAGCAUGGGUGGGUGCUGCUGCUCUGUCCUCAACCCCCCCAGGGGGCUGCGGCUGCCCUCGGGCGGCUCUGGAGAAGUCUGGCAUUGCAGUUUAUUGUAGGAAACCAUGAAAAGACAGCAAUUGUAACAGAACCCAUGAGAAACUACAGCAGCUCGGACGGCUCCCAGCGUGGGACCGCAGCCCCAAGGCCCCUGCAGCGGGGGGCAGCCCCCCCGUGGCUCCUGGCCACGUCGGAUCCCAACCCCGCAAGCCCCGGCUGGCAGGGGCUGUUUGGCACUGAGCGGUGUAAGGGGGGCACUCAGCGGGUCCUGGGGGCGGGUGCCGCGCUGGGCUGGCCCCACGCAGCGGGGAGGGAGCAGAGAACCCGGCAGUGCUCCGCAGCCCCUCAGGAGGGCGGGGGGACACCGAGGUCCCGCAGCCUCACAGGACCCAGCGGUGGCUGUGCCUGGCCGCGAUGCUGCAGCCGGGUGAGCCGCGUCAAAAAUGAGCCAUUUUUACAAAAAAGUCUUCGUACCUUGUUCCAGCCCAGCCUCCCCCCUCCCUCUCUCCCCCAGCCCAUCUGCCCCCCCCGCCCCAGCCACUGCCCAGCCACUCCCCCCACCGUCACCCCAACCAGCUCCUGCCUCCCCCCUCCCCGUGCAGCCCUGCGUCCCCCUGGCGUCCCCCUCCCUGCUCCACCUCUAGGGCUGACCCUCUGCCAGGACCUGCUGCCGUCCUCUGCCUGCAGCCCCAGGUCUGCGCCACAGAGCCGAGCUGGUGAAAGGGGCAGGUGGAUGGGGAAGGGAGGGGACGGCGGAGCUGUCCCCGUCCCCCCCCAGUCCCACAAAACAAACACCUGGCCUGCUCCAAGCCCCGGGCGGGGCUGGGGCCGCCCCUGCUGA
rnacentral:lncRNA from 1 species